CCUACGGGUGGCUGCAGUGGGGAAUAUUGGACAAUGGGCGAAAGCCUGAUCCAGCCAUGCCGCGUGUGUGAAGAAGGCCUUCGGGUUGUAAAGCACUUUCAGUGGGGAAGAAAGCCUUGGGGCUAAUACCCUCGAGGAAGGACAUCACCCACAGAAGAAGCACCGGCUAACUCCGUGCCAGCAGCCGCGGUAAUACGGAGGGUGCGAGCGUUAAUCGGAAUUACUGGGCGUAAAGCGCGCGUAGGCGGUCUGAUAAGCCGGGUGUGAAAGCCCCGGGCUCAACCUGGGAACGGCAUCCGGAACCGUCAGGCGAGGGUGCAGGGGAGGAAGGUAGAAUUCCCGGUGGAGCGGGGAAAAGCGUAGGGAUCGGGAGGGAUACCAGUGGCGAAGGCGGACUUCCGGACUGACACUGACGCUGGGGUGCGAAAGCGUUGGUAGCAAACAGGAUUAAGAACCCGAGUAGUC
rnacentral:rRNA from 1 species